rnacentral:RNase_P_RNA from 1 species
CCAGGGGGCCGGGCAGCCGCGUGAUCGCAAGAUCCCGAGGAAAGUCCGGGCUCCACGAAACAAGGGUGGCGGGUAACGCCCGCCGGGUCCGCAAGGAUCAAGGGAAAGUGCCACAGAGAGCAGACCGCUAACCCCGGAUCCAGGUCCGGGGCAGCAAGGGUGAAAGGGUGCGGCAAGAGCGCACCGCGCGACCGGUAACGGAAGCGGCAAGGCAAACCCCACCCGGAGCAAGACCGAAUAGGGACUGCGCGCCCCAAAAGGGCAGGCCUGUUUCGGGCCGGCAGUCCGGGUUGGUCGCUUGAGCGCGCCCGGCAACGGGCCGCCUAGAGGAAUGGCUGCCGACGCGGAUACGGUCGACACGUGCGAUACCGUCCGCGCCACAGAACCCGGCUUACAGGCCCCCUGGCAAG